CAGCCGUAAACUAAUGCUCGCUAGGUGUCAGGCAUGGCGCGACCGUGUCUGGUGCCGCAGGGAAGCCGUGAAGCGAGCCACCUGGGAAGUACGGCCGCAAGGCUGAAACUUAAAGGAAUUGGCGGGGGAGGCACCGCAACGGGAGGAGCGUGCGGUUUAAUUGGACUCAACGCCGGGAAGCUCACCGGAUAAGACAGCGGAAUGAUUGCCGGGCUGAAGACUCUGCAUGACUAGCUGAGAGGAGGUGCAUGGCGUAGACGUCU
rnacentral:rRNA from 1 species